UACGUAGGACCCGAUCGUUGUCCGGAAUUACUGGGUGUAAAGGGCGUGUAGGUGGGUCUGUAAGUCGGUGGUGAAAUCCUGCGGCCCAACCGCAGAACUGCCAUCGUUACUGCAGAUCUUGAGUACGGCAGAGGGAGAUGGAAUUCAUGGUGUAGCGGUGAAAUGUGUAGAUAUCAUGAAGAACACCGGUUGCGAAGGCGGUCUCCUGGUCCGUUACUGACACUGAGGCGCGAAAGCGUGGGGAGCAAACAGG
rnacentral:rRNA from 1 species